CAUUGAAACACUAGAAAAGAUUAUCAAUGGAAAGAUGUUUCACUGGAGACCAAAGGCAGGAUUAUCCACACUAUUGUGUUCCCA